rfam:Solanum tuberosum cultivar DM 1-3 516 R44 scf00235_47, whole genome shotgun sequence.
AUGUGCCUGGCUCCCUGUAUGCCACACACUUUCACCAAUUCUUUGAUUGACUGAUCAGUGGGUGGCGUGCGAGGAGCCAAGCAUAC